rnacentral:rRNA from 1 species
UGGGGAAUUUUGGACAAUGGGGGAAACCCUGAUCCAGCCAUCCCGCGUGUGCGAUGAAGGCCUUCUGGUUGUAAAGCACUUUUGGCAGGAAAGAAACGUCAUGGGUUAAUACCCCGUGAAACUGACGGUACCAGCAGAAUAAGCACCGGCUAACUACGUGCCAGCAGCCGCGGUAAUACGUAGGGUGCAAGCGUUAAUCGGAAUUACUGGGCGUAAAGCGUGCGCAGGCGGUUCGGAAAGAAAGAUGUGAAAUCCCAGAGCUCAACUUUGGAACUGCAUUUUUAACUACCGGGCUAGAGUGUGUCAGAGGGAGGUGGAAUUCCGCGUGUAGCAGUGAAAUGCGUAGAUAUGCGGAGGAACACCGAUGGCGAAGGCAGCCUCCUGGGAUAACACUGACGCUCAUGCACGAAAGCGUGGGGAGCAAACAGG